UGGGGAAUUUUGGACAAUGGGGGCAACCCUGAUCCAGCCAUCCCGCGUGUGCGAUGAAGGCCUUCGGGUUGUAAAGCACUUUUGGCAGGGAAGAAACAGCCUGGGCUAAUAUCCCGGGCGACUGACGGUACCUGCAGAAUAAGCACCGGCUAACUACGUGCCAGCAGCCGCGGUAAUACGUAGGGUGCAAGCGUUAAUCGGAAUUACUGGGCGUAAAGCGUGCGCAGGUGGUUCGGAAAAAAAGGUGUGAAAUCCCAGGGCUUAACCUGCGAACUGCACUUUNAACUACCGGGCUAGAGUACGUCGGAGAGGGGUAGAAUUCCGCGUGUAGCAGUGAAAUGCGUAGAGAUGUGGAGGAAUACCGAUGGCGAAGGCAGCCCCCUGGGAUGAUACUGACGCUCAUGCACGAAAGCGUGGGGAGCAAA
rnacentral:rRNA from 1 species